CGUGUAGGUGGCAGUCCAAGUCUGGUGUGAAAGCCCACGGCUCAACCGUGGAACUGCAUUGGAAACUGGGCAGCUCGAGUGUUGGAGGGGGUCGCGGAAUUCCCGGUGUAGAGGUGAAAUUCGUAGAUAUCGGGAGGAACACCAGUGGCGAAGGCGGCGACCUGGCCAAUCACUGACACUGAGACGCGAAAGCGUGGGGAGCAAACAGGAUUAGAUACCCUGGUAGUCCACGCCGUAAACGAUGGGUGCUAGCCAUAUCGGGUGUUGACCCUUAGGUGUGGCGAAGCCAACGCGUUAAGCACCCCGCCUGGGGAGUACGGUCGCAAGAUUAAA
rnacentral:rRNA from 1 species